UACGUAGGGGGCAAGCGUUAUCCGGAUUUACUGGGUGUAAAGGGAGCGUAGGUGGCAUGGUAAGCCAGAAGUGAAAACCCGGGGCUCAACCCCGCGGAUUGCUUUUGGAACUGUCAGGCUGGAGUGCUGGAGGGGUAAGCGGAAUUCCUAGUGUAGCGGUGAAAUGCGUAGAUAUUAGGAGGAACACCGGUGGCGAAGGCGGCUUACUGGACAGAAACUGACACUGAGGCUCGAAAGCGUGGGGAGCAAACAGG
rnacentral:rRNA from 1 species